rnacentral:rRNA from 1 species
UAGGGAAUCUUCCGCAAUGGGCGAAAGCCUGACGGAGCAACGCCGCGUGAGUAAUGAAGGGUUUCGGCUCGUAAAACUCUGUUAUUAGGGGAGAACAAAUGUGUAAGUAACUGUGCACAUCUUGACGGUACCUAAUCAGAAAGCCACGGCUAACUACGUGCCAGCAGCCGCGGUAAUACGUAGGUGGCAAGCGUUAUCCGGAAUUAUUGGGCGUAAAGCGCGCGUAGGCGGUUUCUUAAGUCUGAUGUGAAAGCCCACGGCUCAACUGUGGAGGGUCAUUGGAAACUGGGAAACUUGGGUGCAGAAGAGGAAAGUGGGAUUCCAUGUGUAGCGGUGAAAUGCGCAGAGAUAUGGAGGAACACCAGUGGCGAAGGCGACUUUCUGGUCUGUAACUGACGCUGAUGUGCGAAAGCGUGGGGAUCAAACAGGAUUAGAUACCCUGGUAGUCCACGCCGUAAACGAUGAGUGCUAAGUGUUAGGGGGUUUCCGCCCCUUAGUGCUGCAGCUAACGCAUUAAGCACUCCGCCUGGGGAGUACGACCGCAAGGUUGAAACUCAAAGGAAUUGACGG